UUUUUUUUCUUCUCCUCUUCUGGAGGGCGCCGACCUCACCCCUCCCCCUUUCUCCUUUUCAUUUUUCCGACCACCGAAGACCAGCGCCUCCGCCACCACUCCUGUCGCCGUUGCCUCCUCACCGUGCUCUCCUCUCCAUCAUCACUUUUCCGACCGGUGCAAUAGUAGCUAGGAGCUGCGAUUCUGUUCCCGAUCGGGAAAUCGCAUCUCCAGCCUCUCCUUCGAUUUUCCCGUGACUCCAGCUCGAUCGGUCGGCUUUAGCUCCCUUCUCUGGCUGUGUCCCUUAAUUUCUCUCUCUUCCUUCCUGUUCCGGCUGGCGCAACGAUCAGGAGAAGCUGCGACUGUGGUUGCGAUCAGGAAAGUCUUGUUACCCUUUUUUUUUGCAUUUUCCGGCGAGCCCAGCCAAGGACCAGCCAAGGUAGACCUCCCACCUCGUCCCCGGUUCCUUUCCGACCACUGCCUCUUCUGUCUUCUUUAAAUUUAGCGGCGGCAGUAGCUACCGAUCGUUCUAACUGGAAAAUUUCGAUUUCCGGCGUAUGUUGCGACUGGGAAUUAGGAAUUUCCUUCGAUUUGGCUAAGGCUAUGCAAUUUUCUUCGCAGGGCUAUAAAAUGUAAAAUUUUUAAAUUUUUGUGGUUAAGUAAUUAAUGUACUGUUAUAUAUAAGGAUUUCACCACUUCUAGAUGUUACCGAACUCCGCAGUUGUAGGAAUGAUAUACCACUAGUCAUGUAUUAAGUUGGUAGAAUAAUUUAUGAGAACCAAAGAUGUAUUAUAAUUAGGCCCAAAGUAUGUAUUAUUCGAUAUAUCUGAGAUUGGGCCAAAAAUUGUGCGAUUGUUAGUAUAUACACAUAUUUUUUUUAA